rnacentral:rRNA from 1 species
GGUUAAGCGACUAAGCGUACACGGUGGAUGCCCUGGCAGUCAGAGGCGAUGAAGGACGUGCUAAUCUGCGAUAAGCGUCGGUAAGGUGAUAUGAACCGUUAUAACCGGCGAUUUCCGAAUGGGGAAACCCAGUGUGAUUCGUCACACUAUCAUUAACUGAAUCCAUAGGUUAAUGAGGCGAACCGGGGGAACUGAAACAUCUAAGUACCCCGAGGAAAAGAAAUCAACCGAGAUUCCCCCAGUAGCGGCGAGCGAACGGGGAGCAGCCCAGAGCCUGAAUCAGUGUGUGUGUUAGUGGAAGCGUCUGGAAAGGCGCGCGAUACAGGGUGACAGCCCCGUACACAAAAAUGCACAUGCUGUGAGCUCGAUGAGUAGGGCGGGACACGUGGUAUCCUGUCUGAAUAUGGGGGGACCAUCCUCCAAGGCUAAAUACUCCUGACUGACCGAUAGUGAACCAGUACCGUGAGGGAAAGGCGAAAAGAACCCCGGCGAGGGGAGUGAAAAAGAACCUGAAACCGUGUACGUACAAGCAGUGGGAGCACAGAGCAAUCUGUGUGACUGCGUACCUUUUGUAUAAUGGGUCAGCGACUUAUAUUCUGUAGCAAGGUUAACCGAAUAGGGGAGCCGAAGGGAAACCGAGUCUUAACUGGGCGUUAAGUUGCAGGGUAUAGACCCGAAACCCGGUGAUCUAGCCAUGGGCAGGUUGAAGGUUGGGUAACACUAACUGGAGGACCGAACCGACUAAUGUUGAAAAAUUAGCGGAUGACUUGUGGCUGGGGGUGAAAGGCCAAUCAAACCGGGAGAUAGCUGGUUCUCCCCGAAAGCUAUUUAGGUAGCGCCUCGUGAAUUCAUCUCCGGGGGUAGAGCACUGUUUCGGCAAGGGGGUCAUCCCGACUUACCAACCCGAUGCAAACUGCGAAUACCGGAGAAUGUUAUCACGGGAGACACACGGCGGGUGCUAACGUCCGUCGUGAAGAGGGAAACAACCCAGACCGCCAGCUAAGGUCCCAAAGUCAUGGUUAAGUGGGAAACGAUGUGGGAAGGCCCAGACAGCCAGGAUGUUGGCUUAGAAGCAGCCAUCAUUUAAAGAAAGCGUAAUAGCUCACUGGUCGAGUCGGCCUGCGCGGAAGAUGUAACGGGGCUAAACCAUGCACCGAAGCUGCGGCAGCGACGCUUAUGCGUUGUUGGGUAGGGGAGCGUUCUGUAAGCCUGCGAAGGUGUGCUGUGAGGCAUGCUGGAGGUAUCAGAAGUGCGAAUGCUGACAUAAGUAACGAUAAAGCGGGUGAAAAGCCCGCUCGCCGGAAGACCAAGGGUUCCUGUCCAACGUUAAUCGGGGCAGGGUGAGUCGACCCCUAAGGCGAGGCCGAAAGGCGUAGUCGAUGGGAAACAGGUUAAUAUUCCUGUACUUGGUGUUACUGCGAAGGGGGGACGGAGAAGGCUAUGUUGGCCGGGCGACGGUUGUCCCGGUUUAAGCGUGUAGGCUGGUUUUCCAGGCAAAUCCGGAAAAUCAAGGCUGAGGCGUGAUGACGAGGCACUACGGUGCUGAAGCAACAAAUGCCCUGCUUCCAGGAAAAGCCUCUAAGCAUCAGGUAACAUCAAAUCGUACCCCAAACCGACACAGGUGGUCAGGUAGAGAAUACCAAGGCGCUUGAGAGAACUCGGGUGAAGGAACUAGGCAAAAUGGUGCCGUAACUUCGGGAGAAGGCACGCUGAUAUGUAGGUGAAGUCCCUCGCGGAUGGAGCUGAAAUCAGUCGAAGAUACCAGCUGGCUGCAACUGUUUAUUAAAAACACAGCACUGUGCAAACACGAAAGUGGACGUAUACGGUGUGACGCCUGCCCGGUGCCGGAAGGUUAAUUGAUGGGGUCAGCGCAAGCGAAGCUCUUGAUCGAAGCCCCGGUAAACGGCGGCCGUAACUAUAACGGUCCUAAGGUAGCGAAAUUCCUUGUCGGGUAAGUUCCGACCUGCACGAAUGGCGUAAUGAUGGCCAGGCUGUCUCCACCCGAGACUCAGUGAAAUUGAACUCGCUGUGAAGAUGCAGUGUACCCGCGGCAAGACGGAAAGACCCCGUGAACCUUUACUAUAGCUUGACACUGAACAUUGAGCCUUGAUGUGUAGGAUAGGUGGGAGGCUUUGAAGUGUGGACGCCAGUCUGCAUGGAGCCGACCUUGAAAUACCACCCUUUAAUGUUUGAUGUUCUAACGUGGACCCGUAAUCCGGGUUGCGGACAGUGUCUGGUGGGUAGUUUGACUGGGGCGGUCUCCUCCUAAAGAGUAACGGAGGAGCACGAAGGUUGGCUAAUCCUGGUCGGACAUCAGGAGGUUAGUGCAAUGGCAUAAGCCAGCUUGACUGCGAGCGUGACGGCGCGAGCAGGUGCGAAAGCAGGUCAUAGUGAUCCGGUGGUUCUGAAUGGAAGGGCCAUCGCUCAACGGAUAAAAGGUACUCCGGGGAUAACAGGCUGAUACCGCCCAAGAGUUCAUAUCGACGGCGGUGUUUGGCACCUCGAUGUCGGCUCAUCACAUCCUGGGGCUGAAGUAGGUCCCAAGGGUAUGGCUGUUCGCCAUUUAAAGUGGUACGCGAGCUGGGUUUAGAACGUCGUGAGACAGUUCGGUCCCUAUCUGCCGUGGGCGCUGGAGAACUGAGGGGGGCUGCUCCUAGUACGAGAGGACCGGAGUGGACGCAUCACUGGUGUUCGGGUUGUCAUGCCAAUGGCACUGCCCGGUAGCUAAAUGCGGAAGAGAUAAGUGCUGAAAGCAUCUAAGCACGAAACUUGCCCCGAGAUGAGUUCUCCCUGACCCUUUAAGGGUCCUGAAGGAACGUUGAAGACGACGACGUUGAUAGGCCGGGUGUGUAAGCGCAGCGAUGCGUUGAGCUAACCGGUACUAAUGAACCGUGAGGCUUAACCUU